UAUGGCGGCAUGCUGGACGGCGGCACGUACGAAUUUGAUGCGCCCGACGGAAUGGACAGUCCCCCGCCGCCCACUUUAGGCAUGCGCGCUGCGAUGGCCUGGAGGAAGAAGGGCAAGCAGACGGUCUGCGAGGAAACGGACGAUAAUGUC
rnacentral:sRNA from 1 species